rnacentral:tRNA from 1 species
GGCCCCGUCGUCUAGCCAGGUCCAGGACACAGGAUUUUCAUUCCUGCAACACGGGUUCGAAUCCCGUCGGGGUCA